UUCAGAUUCCUGGUGGAACACGAUCCAACUCCAAUGAGUCCAAAGACUUUAAAGCAAAGAAUACUUCCAGAGGCAUGGAAAGUGCUAAGGAUGAAGAUGAAAAGGCAGAUAAAGGGAGAGAGACCCAUUAGCGCUUCCUGUCUCUAUCAGCAUCAUCCCAGCAGUCACAGAUCAUUCCAGUAGCAGUCGGUUCCAGUUUUCACCCUUUUGCUCACUCCAAGACCAGCAUCCUUGUAACUCUUAAGAGAUACCAGCACCAAUCAAA
rnacentral:lncRNA from 10 species